rnacentral:rRNA from 1 species
AGUGAACGCUGGCGGUAGGCCUAACACAUGCAAGUCGAACGGCAGCACAGUAAGAGCUUGCUCUUACGGGUGGCGAGUGGCGGACGGGUGAGGAAUACAUCGGAAUCUACUUUUUCGUGGGGGAUAACGUAGGGAAACUUACGCUAAUACCGCAUACGACCUACGGGUGAAAGCAGGGGAUCUUCGGACCUUGCGCGAUUGAAUGAGCCGAUGUCGGAUUAGCUAGUUGGCGGGGUAAAGGCCCACCAAGGCGACGAUCCGUAGCUGGUCUGAGAGGAUGGUCCGCCACACUGGACCUGAGACACGGUCCAGACUCCUACGGGAGGCAGCAGUGGGGAAUAUUGGACAAUGGGCGCAAGCCUGAUCCAGCCAUACCGCGUGGGUGAAGAAGGCCUUCGGGUUGUAAAGCCCUUUUGUUGGGAAAGAAAAGCAGCAGGUUAAUACCCCGCUGUUCUGACGGUACCCAAAGAAUAAGCACCGGCUAACUUCGUG